UACGGGGGGUGCAAGCGUUGUCCGGAAUCAUUGGGCGUAAAGCGUUCGUAGGCGGCAAGGUAAGUCUGAUGUUAAAGCCCGGGGCUCAGCUCCGGUUCGGCAUUGGAUACUAUCUAGCUAGAAUGUGGUAGAGGUAAAGGGAAUUCCUGGUGUAGCGGUGAAAUGCGUAGAUAUCACGCAGAACUCCGAUUGCGAAGGCAGCUUACUAAGCCAUAACUGACACUGAAGCACGAAAGCGUGGGGAUCAAACAGG
rnacentral:rRNA from 1 species